ACCAGACUCCUACGGGAGGCAGCAGUGGGGGAUAUUGCACAAUGGGGGGAACCCUGAUGCAGCGACGCCGCGUGGGUGAAGGAGCGUUUCGGCGCGUAAAGCCCUAUCGGCAGGGAAGAAGGAGGACGGUACCUGACUAAGAAGCCCCGGCUAACUACGUGCCGGCAGCCGCGGUAAUACGUAGGGGGCAAGCGUUAUCCGGAUUUACUGGGUGUAAAGGGAGCGUAGACGGCAUGGCAAGUCAGAUGUGAAAGCCCGGGGCUCAACCCCGGGACUGCAUUUGAAACUGUCAGGCUGGAGUGCAGGAGAGGUAAGUGGAAUUCCUAGUGUAGCGGUGAAAUGCGUAGAUAUUAGGAGGAACACCAGUGGCGAAGGCGGCUUACUGGACUGUAACUGACGUUGAGGCUCGAAAGCGUGGGGAGCAAACAGGAUUAGAUACCCUCGUAAGC
rnacentral:rRNA from 1 species